AUUGAACGCUGGCGGCAUGCCUUACACAUGCAAGUCGAACGGCAGCACGGGAGCAAUCCUGGUGGCGAGUGGCGAACGGGUGAGUAAUAUAUCGGAACGUGCCCAGUCGUGGGGGAUAACGUAGCGAAAGCUACGCUAAUACCGCAUACGAUCUAUGGAUGAAAGCGGGGGAUCGCAAGACCUCGCGCGAUUGGAGCGGCCGAUAUCAGAUGAGGUAGUUGGUGAGGGAAAGGGUCACCAAGCCGACGAUCUGUAGAUGGUCUGAGAGGACGACCAGCCACACGAGGGGUGAGACACGGCCCAGACUCCUACGGGAGGCAGCAGUGGGGAAUUUUGGACAAUGGACGCAAGCCUGAUCCAGCAAUGCCGCGUGCAGGAUGAAGGCCUUCGGGUUGUAAACUGCUUUUGUACGGAACGAAACGGCGAGCUCUAAUACAGUUUGCUAAUGACGGUACCGUAAGAAUAAGCACCGGCUAACUACGUGCCAGCAGCCGCCGUAA
rnacentral:rRNA from 1 species